rnacentral:lncRNA from 1 species
UCCCUGUUUUCCAGCCAUUAGGCUCUUCAGUAUACCUAAGACAAAGGGACUUGUUCCAAAAAUUCUGCCAUGUUAAUAAACUAAACACUUCAUUUGCCUAAAUUUCACUCCCAAACCCACCUCAAGAACCAGUUUAUCCACAAAAUUACUUUAACCUAAGCAAGAAAAAGCUGUAUAGAGGAGCCCGACAGAGGCAUUGGGGCAAAUGGGUGGCUGAAAUUAUACUUCCACAGAAUAGAAUGAGAGUUUGGUUGGGAACUUACGACUCUGCCGAGGCUGCUGCCUAUGCUUACGACCGCCCCGCCUAGACUCCACUGCGAAUAUGCUAGCCUGAAUUUUCCAAAUCUAAAGGACCCAAGUGAAUUGGGAUUUUGCGAUGGCGCCACAUUGACUGCUCUGACGAAUGCUGUAGAUGCCAAAAUUCAAGCAAUCUGCCAAAAGGUCAGGAGAAAAAAAGCUAAAAAGGCAUCCAAAAAAGGUGAAAAAGUAGAAUAAAAUAAGUUUUAUCAUAAUUCAUCUUCACUGGAAAUGGUUUUGCCAAGUAUUUCUGAAGAUGGGUUUUUGAAGGAUGAGAAUUCACCUUCCUCGGUUUUCUCAAUGGAUUCGGAGCUUGAAUGUUGUUCACUUUCUCGGAUCCCAUCUUGAAUGUUGUUCACUUUUGGCGUGGAUCCCUAACUUACCAGAAUUUGGGGAUGAAAAUUGGUUUGGGAGGAGGUGAAAUGGUUGUCUGAAUGGAGGGAGGCGUGAGGAGAAAGAGGCUUAGGGUUUGGAUUAUUUUGGGUUUCUUUC